CACAGGGAUCGAACACACCGCACCGAGGAGGAAACGGAAGCUCAGAAACCAGAAGGGACUUGCCCAGGACGGCGUAGCUGGAAUUUCACCUGCUCCUUCUUAAUGUGGCCCCUGAAGCAUUUAAAAUUAUGGAUGUGGCUCACAUCUGCGGCCUGCAUUCUAUUUCUACUGGACAGCGCCGGGUUACAGGCUAGAGGCCAGGACCUUCAGGAAAUCCUGGCCAUGCCUUCUCCUGACGAAUAAAGCCUGCUUCCUACUUCAAGGCUGAGAGAGGCCAAAGCUGCUUUCCAGACAAUGCCAGUGGCCAGCUGCAGUUCCACGUGGAUCAGUCACAGAAGACUCAGGUAUGCAGCUGUGGGUCAUCAGAGCCCAGGCCAAACAACGACGCUGUGGACAUGCAGCCUCCUCCCCUAGCACAUGAAAGCCUCUCUUCCCCGGACCUGUUUGAAGACUCCUAACAGCAGGCUUGGGGGCUGGGGGCUGGCUCCAUAGGGGCUGGGGGCCAGGUUGCCAGGACUCACAGCCCUGUUCAUCACCUAAGUGUCCGACUUCGGGUGGGCCGAGAGACAGGCCAUUUCUGGCAGCCACACCGUUGACAGGCUUUUUCCAUCACACUGAGGUCACCGGCUCAGCCCUACAUUUGCUUUGUAAAAAUGUCAGCAGCUGGGCCCAGUCCCUCCCCCCAGUGCUUGUGGGAAGCCAGCUCCCCCACCCCCUGCAGAGCUUGAGUUCUGUCCCUGCGCUGUCAUCUCACACGCCUUUGCCUUGCAAACCACAGAUUAGCACAAGACAAAGGGCCUCUGGGCUAGGAGCUGACCUCAAUACCUGCUUUUGAAAGUCCCUUGGCUUGGUCCGGAGCUGGGGGACACAGGAUGAGUGGGCAGUCCACAAGGACAGUUGGCUGGGCUUGCAGGACCCUCCCGUCUGCAUGUGGUGGGGUGCCUGAUGGGAGCAGCCCUGGGAGCACCCCGGUUUAUGCUACACGAUCUGAGAGCAGGAGGGACUCAGUUCCCAGAGGGGACUCCAUGCCAGAGCCGGUGUCUGGCAUGUGGACCAGAGGCCAGGAUCCCUCUGAAAUGGAGAAAUAGAGGGCGGGACACAACAGAACUGGCCACAGCGGCCCUUUUUGUCUGUCCCAGAUCUGCCUGGAAAGGGUCCCCUCCGCCUUUUUCUCAGGGACAUCUCAAGUCCCUGUCUUGGGCCCUCAGUCUUCCUUCCAGCUGCCCCACUCUGGGGGACUCAGCACCAUAGUGAUGAGCCCAUUUUCCCCUCAGGCCCUUGUCACUUUCCAUUUGCAGCAACCAGUUCCCCUACCCAGUAGCACCCCUCCCCCACAGGGCCUUGGCUCCUCCUGACCUCCAGGGGGUCCAUGGGCCUCGGCUCCCCCAGCCUCUUGGGGCUGCCAGCUGCCCAGGCUGUCCACGAAUUCUGUCCCUACUCCAAUCCCCUGGGUCACCUUGAAAAAUGAUCCUUAGUCUUUAAUGAACCAAUCGGUUCUUUAGAAAGGACACCUGGAACUUUCUUUGCAGCUAGUAGCCCUGUCAACAGGAGCACUAUUGGAAUUGGGGCCUGGACAAAUCCCCAUUGUAUGGGACAGUCCCUUCCCCAUUGUAGGAUGUUGAGUGUCCCUGGACCCCUGGCCACUGAGUCUGGAAGCACCCCCUUAGUCAUUGUGGCAACCAAACAACAGAACACAUCCCCCCACUUCCCAAUGUCCCCAGGGAGGGCCAUGGUUCUUGACUAAGGAAGCGCCAUUCAUCUCAGGAUCAAAUUCUUUUUACUCCACAAACAAUCGCCAAGCAGCAUCUCCCCGCAGUACCAGUUAUGUGUGCCUGAUCAGGGCCACCUCCCGCGUGUCAUUCAAUCUAGAGUGAACAGCACGGCAGCCGCCUCCUCAGGUCCCUACCCUCCACCUGGGGACCACACAGAAGAGCGCAGCGCCUGAGUGGGCGCCUUUCCAUGAAGGAGUAGGGGUGGGUCGUCCCUGGAAGAUAAUUCUCAGCAAAGCAUUUCCUGGGAAAUCAUUGGCAUCAUUCCCCACCCCCUCCCUCCUCUUGCUGGUGUCCCCUUUAAAAAAAAAUUGAUCAAUCAAAAUAAAAGAACAAGCAUGGUUGGGAGACUCGCACUGGAGAUGCUCCCUGGUCCCACACCCAGGUUAACCCUGGAUGCGGCUCCCCUGCCUCAAAUGCUAGUGUGGUAUUUGUUCAUGAAAAAGGAAGGGGAAGUUUAGCCUUUGGGGACAUGACGACAGCUCUCCCCCUGGGUGCUGCUGCCUUCUGCCUUGAGCUGUUUGGACCAAACCCCGCGGCCAGCCUGGCAGGAGGCGCGUACACCUGGAUCCGCAGGAGGGGACAGCA